rnacentral:lncRNA from 10 species
CUUCCAGGCAUCUCCAGCUGAGACAGUGCUCUAGCGAUGGUCACAGGUAUAAGCUGUUAGCUAGAGCAAUUUCAGCAGUUGGGAGGUGAGCAUAUCAACCCACAAGGUUGUCUGAGAGGGACAACAACUUCUGCUGUUAGUUUACUUUUGGGUAUAAACGUGAACUUUGAGGAAAGAGUUAAAUUCAAUUAAAAACAAAUUCGUUGAGUGUCUACUAUGUGCAAAACAAUAUGUUGUGGCAAAAGGGGGACGCAAUGUGAAAGAUCUGUUGCCCUCGAGAAGAAACGACCCUGCAUAUCAGCAAGGUAUCUUUUCCUGAAGCCGGUCUUCAUUAACAGGCUUGGUCUUUCUCCCAGUGGAGAAAUCACUUGGGCCACUUCUGCAUCUAGAGUGUCAGACCCAAGCUAGGAAAAAGAAUCAUCUUUAAAAGUAUGUCAUCAGCACUCAAGACCUUUAAUGAGCCAGCGGAAUUGGUCUCCUGGUCCUCUCCUCACUCCACAGAGACUGAAAACGAACCAGACAGAGGACGAGAGUCCGCAUGCUGAACCACUUAAAUUCACAUGGCGGCUAAGAAGACAAGAGUUUCGGCAGGCAUAGAGGCUAAGAGAGUUAAGAGCAUCCUCCGUGCCUAGUACAGUCCCCAGCUGCAUCAUAAACAGAUGAAAUGAAAAAGUUUUUUCUCCCAAUCAAGCCAGCAGGAGAGCAAGGGUCUGUGGUACCUGGGGACAAUGCACCAUGCUUACACCCUCUCUAGCCACAUGUAUGCUACUGCGGAAUUGGCAAAGACAGGUAUGUUCCCAUAGAUGAGGCAUGCAUACAGACAGGUGCCUGGAAACCACAAGCCCUCCAAGGCUUUCCUGUGCUAAGCCUGAUUUACGAGCUAGUCACCCAUGCCUGACUCAAGUCCAAGAUCUGGGCUGAACAGCCUCUUCUGCAUUUUCUGAUGUGUGACGCCUAUUGUGUGCCCCUUCUGGGAUCCUCAUGACUCCUGCCAGUCCUUUCAUGGGUGGAGGCUUUGAGUGAUCCUCGAGAACCAGGAGAGUAAGGAGUGACUUAUAUAGGAUCAGAAUAACCAUGCAACUACAUCCCAGGAGCUGUGUGCUCAGUGGGUGAUUAAAUGUGCUGUUUACUUUGUAUCCUCGGUUGUCUACUCAGAGCUCUUUUAUUAAAGUUUGUGUAAUGCUUCCUAGCCAUUAAAACAGCAUUUCGUAAAUGGGCUUACUUUGGGAGGCUGAGAUGCCCAGAAGCAUGGAGGCACCUGUCUCGGGUGGAGACACCUGAGGUAUUAUUUACAGAUUUAUGUAUUAAACAAACAAACCUGACACUCCUUUUCUAUUCCAGAGUGCAACCCUUUUUAGUCAUCAACCUGGGGGAGAGAUCUCUUCUGCACAUAAAAGUAUCCCCACAGCAUUGUGAUCACACUGGAGAAAGUGGACGGGAUAAAGAGAAGGAAGGACGUUUUGUUGAGUGCCUUCUAUGUGCUGUUCGCUCUGCUGAGCUUCAAGUUUCUCAAAUAUAAAUGGGGGAGAGGCUGGGCGCGGUGGCUUACGCCUGUAAUUCCAGAACUUUUGGAGGCCAAGGCGAGCAGAUCACAAGGUCAGGAGUUGCAGACCAGCUUGGCCAACAUAGUGAAACUCUGUCUCUACUAAUAAUACAAAAAUUAGUUGGGCAUGGUGGCACGUGCCUAUAAUGCCAGCUACUUGGGAGGCUGAGGCAGGAAAACUGCUUGAACAGGGACCUGGGAAGCAGAGGUUGCAGUGAGCCGAGACCACGCCACUGCACUCCAGCCUGGGCUACAGAGCGAGACUCUGUCUCAAAAAAUAAAUAUAAAUAAAUAAAUGAGGGAGAACCAUGAUUCAUAGGGUUCUUAAUAAUGAAGAUAACAAUACCAAUGCCAAUAACAACUGUCACAUAUUCUGCAUGCUGGACAUUGUGCUAAUUCUUUCCAUGCAUUUUCUCACCUAAGCCUUACAACAACCCGGAGGGAUAGGUACGAUUUUACAGAUGACAAGACUAAGGAACAGAGUUUAAGCCAAUUUCCCAAGAUUGCAGAGCUACUGAAGGUCACAGACACUAUUUUGUCCUUCAGUGGUUAGUCUUCUAGAGCCCAUAAGCUUCACCUCUGUGGUAUCUGUUUCCCAUUUUGCAGGCACCACAUGUCCCACUAUUUGGGAUAAUAUAGUAAAAUGCAUAGUACAGUCUUCCCACUUCCAAGCAGCACUAUAAAUGGAGACUAACAGUUCAUCUAACUGGAGACGGCAAAGAAGGCUUCCUAGAGGAGGUGGCCCCUCUAGUAUCUUGCUUUUCCUACAAGCACCCCUGUAGGCCCAUCUUUGGGAAGUUGGGGUGGGGGGCACAUAGGUGCCAGGUUGAAAAAGUGUUUCUGUUCCUUCCAACGAAGAGAACAGAAAGAGGUCCAGAGAGAGAGAAACAUACAGAUGUCCUCCAGCUUUCAGAACCUGAAGGCUGAUUUCAAAUAAGUUGUGCCCAUUUGGGGCUGUGCCUAGAGGAAGAGAAUGUUGGAAUCAUUCUCUUCUCUUCUUGUGCAACCACUUUUAGAGGCAGCUUGAGAAGAAAGUUUAAUCAAAGUGGUUUUUAGACAAUGAGGAACCUGAGUCAGGCCCCUACACCUGUGAAGGCCACUCUGUUCAGCUUCCUAUAACAUCUCUUAUGUAGAUAUUCUGUAGAAUAUAGAUAGGUAGAUACGUAUAUAUUGAAAAAUAUCAACUCAGGAAUUAUUUUUUCUCUGAUAACUGUUGAAAGAGCCCUUUCAUUAAUAGCAAAUCCUUUUGUUUCUGCCUUGCCCCUUCAACAACAACAAAAAAAUUUGAAAAGAAUACGAAUGCCGAUUGACCUUCACUCAAAUGCACUUUUUUAAACCUAGGACUGCCUUCCUUAUCCAAGUAAUGGCUUUCAGACAGAUUAUAAGAUCUUGUACCAAAUUAAGCAAAAGAUUAGAAGAAUAAGGACACACUGAGAAAACACGUGCUGCCUCUUUAAUGUCUCAGGUUUUCUUUAAACAUAAAAUUAUAGCACAAUGCACAAAAGGACGGCGGCAUUAUCCUUUAUCACAAUACCCAGCCAACUUUAACUUGUCUCAAGUGUUAUUAUAAGAAAUAGAAUUUACUGCUAUGGACUUCUCUUCAAUACCACUCCUUCCCUGUUUAAUGAAAUGUCAUUAUUCCAAUACAAACCCUUUCUUUUUGCAGCCUGUUCCCCCCCCGACCCAACCACUAUAUUUCAUUUCCUGCAGUUACGUGAUAUUAUUGCCUUUUUUCCACAGCUAUUGAUUUAGGUGUAUAUGGUUAUUACAAUGCAAAAUAAAACAGCUCCCCCAUCCAUUCUACCUUGUACCAUUGAACAUUAACUUAAUUUGUUUCAAAUCUGCAUUUGAUUUGGCAAGGAAACCAUUUAUCUUUAUGAAGAAAGCCCUCAUAAAGUAGAGAGUUUAGAAGAUCACUGCUUUAAAAAUUUAAUAGCCUUGUGUCUUAUAAACUAGAAAAAUGAAUUAAAC